CAUCAUAUUUGGUCACUUGGGCAAGUUUGUGUGGCAAUUAACAUUAUAAUACUUGGUAUUACAGCGGCGUGGUCAAGGAAAAGUGGCAGUGUAGUUUCUGGUAGGAAUGAGAUGUCUUUUAAGGGAUAAAAGGAGGAAAUCUCCGGACUUCCGCCCUCCACUGGGGAUGGUGGGCGGUCCAUCUCAGAGUCGAACUUACUAAAACCUCCUGUCGCUCAACAACCAGCAUCCAAACCUCGCAUGAGACAGAACUCAUGAAAAGGCAAAGGGGGAAAGUGAAGCGUUUAGUGCGGAGCACAUUUCUCCCAUCACCCUUCCCCUCAGGACGCCGACGGACCAGCGAUCGUCGGCGCCACGACCACCAGCCCUCUCGGUCGGCAGGCUGUCCGAAGCCCGCCUAGAUGGCGCCGGUUAAAGUGAGUUAUCCUACGGAAUACCCCACUGGGCCAGAACAAGCGUGGGUCGAGAAUAGCUGGCCUUCCAUGCUCUUGCGUAAAACGCGUGGAGAUCAGCUUGCACGUCGUCUUCUUAGGCCCCCCUCGCCGGUCCCCAGACCGACAUGUGAGGGGGACCCGAAACAGUGGGCCAGGGCUUGGGCGAGAUCCGCCUCCCUGGCCCCCGCGCGACGGCGGAUCUCAAGAAGCUUAAGGUGUUGUGUAAAUAAUAAUCUCACCCUGGCUUGGUAAUGAUUUCUGGUACCUUCUUAAAAAGACGAAUUUGGCUUGUAUCUACAGACAUCGAUUUGUUUUCAGAUUGGAUCUCUACUUCAAGUUAUUUUGGUUCAGGUAAGCUUUAAUAAUUUUCUUAAGUACGUUUUAGGCCUUUUCUUAAAGCAUAAUGUAAACAUUUUUAAAUAUAGAAAUUGUAUCCGAUGAGGAUUAAAAAUAAUUUAUUUAUGUUUUUGUUUAAUUAAAAAUAAUUGUUCAUUGUAUUAAUAAUAAAAGAUUUUGUUAGCCUA